GGGCGGAUGGUUUAGUGGUAUAAUUUUCCCUUAGCAUAGUGCAACCAAUCAGUUGCCACUACUCGCAUGGGAAAGGUCCGGGGUUCGAUUCCCCGUUCGUCCA
rnacentral:tRNA from 2 species